GAAUAGCCCCGAUGGGAACGGUAUCCUUUUCCUGUCCGCCGGGGCGGACAGAAAAAGAUAUAGAGGACAGCGGGACUAAAG
rnacentral:sRNA from 1 species